GACGACCGGUGCCAAGUCCAGCUGCAAUAGGCCGGAGCUUCCUUCCCUUCUGGCCAGGGCGCGCCUAUAAAAGUAGCCCCAGCUUCCUUGCAACUGCAGGCACACUCACUCACUCACCAGUCUUCACGCAUCUUCACUUGCUAAACUAGCCACUGUACCGUUCGCACCGGUCGAGCGGCCGCCGGCGAGAUGGGCAAUCCUUUCAUCGAGUUUGCCCAUAUCUUCCACGUUGUGCACGUUGCACAUGUCCUCUGCAAAGCAGGCCAAGAUGCUGCCCGUGCGCCCAAGAAGAACAAGAACAAGCCCAAUCCUCGCUGAAGGCAUGUGAUGGGUCGAGCUCUUAGACAAUAAACAGAGCGCUACCGGGAGGCAGCCCGUCUUUUUCCGCUGUGUCAUUUGCUGAAUUUUGCAUCUACUGAUGCUUUUCCUAGCUACCGGGAGGGCAGCCCGUUGUUGUUUGAAAAAAAUAAAGGAAAAGGAGAUUUGUGUGCUUCGUCAGAGUCAAGAGUGCUGCAUGCGUGCAUGUGCUGUGCAUUUGUGUAUUCAGCUGAUCCGUGGUUGCUUUGUUCUGUGCUCUCUUUGAUUUACUCAAAUGCCAUGGACCUGACUGACUGCACCCCAACUCCUUGUGCUGAAACCCUUCAGAGGCAAUUGGCUACUAGGUUUGGAGGUGCUAGUUUUGGUAGGAUGCUGGGACUGUUGACCCUGUGUUUUGAUUUUCGGCCGAAAAAAAUGGAUUUCGGCCGAAUUUCGGCCAUCUCGGCCUGGGGCGAAAAGUAUAUUUAGACCGAAAUUGCUCAAAUUUGACAAAAUUUGGUCAAACUUAAGUUAAAUUGCAGUCAAAUUUUGAUCAAAUUUCAGCCGAAAUUUUUGAAAAUGACCGAAAUUCGGCCAUCUCGGUAUAGGGCGAAAAAAAGCUGAAACCGAAAAUCAAAACACAGUUGACCACGCUAUAAACAUGCUGAACAUCAGAGGCUUAGUGUUUGUUUUCCUAGCUAUAACAGCACACGUGGUAAGAACAAGAGGGAAUGAAACGUAUGGCUAUCUUGACUGAAACUUUUUCUGCUAAACGCAUGCAUAGAUCAUUCUAAACACAGGC
rnacentral:rRNA from 1 species